GGGGGCGUUUUUGGAUUCGACGGGGGUUGUUCGAGCAUGGGUAGCGGGUAGUGGGGACGCGUCCACUUCAUCAACGCUAAAGCCUAUUAAACGGCAAACAACAAUCUAACUACGCUCUCGCAGCUUAAUAACCUGCAGACGUGCUCUCGCUCUGCAUCGCCCAUGUGCCGGGAUGAGGGCUCAACCUAUAGUGGGAUACGCUGUCUAGUCUCCGCCUGCGGCUAGCUGAAGAAGACAACCAGGCUGACCCAAAGGGAAUCCGGUGACGGGGAGUUCCUAGGGUGACAUCAAAACUGUCACUACACCCGUAGAAACCUAUGUGGCGUUGCCUUCGGACAGGGGUUCGACUCCCCUCGCCUCCAUAU
rfam:Paenibacillus yonginensis strain DCY84 chromosome, complete genome.